CUCCAGCAGACCCUCCCUCCCAGACCCUCCUACUUCCUGGACAGUAUCCAUGUUGAAACAUGGAUGCUGUCCAGGAAGUAGGAGGGUUUGGGAGGGAGGGUCUGCUGGAG